GGACUUAUAGCUCUUAGUUGGGUAGAGCGCCUGCUUUGCACGCAGGAGGUGAGUUCGACUCUCCUCCGCAGUAGCUCCACCA
rnacentral:tRNA from 1 species